rnacentral:rRNA from 1 species
GACGAACGCUGGCGGCGUGCUUAACACAUGCCAGUCGAACGGAAAGGCCCUGCUUUUGUGGGGUGCUCGAGUGGCGAACGGGUGAGUAACACGUGAGUAACCUGCCCUUGACUUUGGGAUAACUUCAGGAAACGGGGGCUAAUACCGGAUAGGAGCUCCUGCUGCAUUGUGGGGGUGGGAAAGUUUCGGCGGGUGGGGAUGGACUCGCGGCUGAUCAGCUUGUUGGUGGGGUAGUGGCUUACCAAGGCUGUGACGGGUAGCCGGCCUGAGAGGGUGACCGGCCACCUUGGGACUGAGAUAGGCACCAGACGGCUACGGGAGGCAGCAGUGGGGAAUCUUGCACAAUGGGCGGACGCCUGAUGAAGCAACGCCGCGUGCGGGAUGACGGCCUUCGGGUUGUAAACCGCUUUCGCCUGUGACGAAGCGUGAGUGACGGUAAUGGGUAAAGAAGCACCGGCUAACUACGUG